AAUCAACCUAACCAAGGUGUUCAAAGAUCUCUACAAUGAAAAUUUUAGAAUAAUGAAGAAGUUGAAGAAGAAACUAGAAGGAGGAAAGGUCUCACAUGUUCGUGAAUCCACAGAAUUAAUAAUGAGAAAACCUAAGGCAUAGAAAGAGUCAUAACUAACAUUAACAUUCAGCUGAGUG